UCCUUAUGUGUUCUGAACAGGCUUCAUAUUUUAGCCCUUUAUCUGGAGAAGCUGUGGACAGGCUGGCAAACUGACAGGCCUUUAACAUGAUGCUGAUACCAUAUUAAAAACAUUCACUAAUUGAUCCUAAUUGUCACACUAGGAAAGGAGAGAGUGAGGAAAAUGUGUUGAGUGUAAAGUUGUCAGUCGGGGAAUAACACAGGGCUGUGAAUGAGCCCCGUCACUGUGAUCAGGCUCCUCCUUCUAAUCCACCAACUUAGUGUUGAUGAAGACUAAACAGAGAGAUCACAGCCUUCUUUAUACUUGCUGGAGCUCACAGUUCCUCAACACUGCAGAUAUGACGCCUCUGUUCAUCUCAGUGUUGCUGGCUGCUGUGUGCCUUGAAUGCAGAGCACAAAAAGACAACGUGCUGCAACCAGAAGGAGACGUGACUGCUGCCGAAGGAGAGCCAGUAACACUUGGCUGUCUAUAUAACACCAGUUCUCAAAGUCCAUAUCUCUUCUGGUACAAACAGGAUGGAAACAACAGCCCUGAAUUCAUACUGAGCCGCUUUAAGAUCGGUGAGGGGAAAACAGAGGACGAGUACAAGGAGAGAUUUUCAUCCACACUGGAUUCCACCUCAAGAUCAGUUCCUCUGAAGAUCCAGAAGCUUCAGCUGUCUGACUCUGCUGUGUACUAC